UCCCUACUUGUACUGCUUCUAUUGGUUUCUGUCAUGUAUUUAAGUAUUACUGUCUGUAACGAAAUCACUAUUGUCCCUUGGACUAUUAUACAACAAGAAGAAGACGUAUCAUUUUCAGCACUGUUUCACCAUAUCAAGAGUGGAGCUGUUUCUACUAUCACACCAUCUACAUACCUUACAAGGUCUUCUCUUGUAAAAGUAUCUGUUGGUCAAUCAAGAGAUGUACUUAAUGUCGUUGAAAUGGGCCACUCUGUUAAUGGUGUGUGUAGUGUAUUUGGAUGUUUUAUAAAGUUCGAAGUACAAAUGAUAAUUAGUAAUAGUGAAGUAUGGAUUACAGAGCAAUCACUGGAAGAAGAUGCACGACGUCUCAGUUAGCCUUUUGUCAUGGAUCUAUGUAAUACCCUGUGGUAGUAUUGACGGACAUCACAGUGUCUUUUCUAGUUGUAGUUGUUGUAUUCCUGAUUUAUUUUCACCUUUUAAUGGUUAUAAAAAGCGAGAAUUAAAGCAUAGGAAAACAUCAAUUUAUUGCUUGAGUAUGCAACAAGUAGAUGGAUUGAUCUGCACAGUGGAGUAAUUUUAACCUGCACUACUUCAGUGAAUUAAGUUGCUCUCUGCAUUAUGCAUCUUACUUUACACACUCACUUUUUGAUCCAAAAAAAUUUUAGUUCAUUAAAUUUUUAAAAUUCAUUAUUAAAAAU